UAACACAUCUUUGUAUCAUUAAAACAAACAUUCCAGUACAGAGAAGUUUAGCAUGGCCCUUGUGCAAGGAUGACAUGCAAAUUCAUGAAGCAUUCCAUACUUUU